UAAUGAGAGUUUGAUCCUGGCUCAGGACGAACGCUGGCGGCGUGCCUAAUACAUGCAAGUAGAACGCUGAAGAGAGGAGCUUGCUCUUCUUGGAUGAGUUGCGAACGGGUGAGUAACGCGUAGGUAACCUGCCUUGUAGCGGGGGAUAACUAUUGGAAACGAUAGCUAAUACCGCAUAACAAUGGAUGACACAUGUCAUUUAUUUGAAAGGGGCAAUUGCUCCACUACAAGAUGGACCUGCGUUGUAUUAGCUAGUAGGUGAGGUAACGGCUCACCUAGGCGACGAUACAUAGCCGACCUGAGAGGGUGAUCGGCCACACUGGGACUGAGACACGGCCCAGACUCCUACGGGAGGCAGCAGUAGGGAAUCUUCGGCAAUGGGGGCAACCCUGACCGAGCAACGCCGCGUGAGUGAAGAAGGUUUUCGGAUCGUAAAGCUCUGUUGUAAGUCAAGAACGAGUGUGAGAGUGGAAAGUUCACACUGUGACGGUAGCUUACCAGAAAGGGACGGCUAACUACGUGCCAGCAGCCGCGGUAAUACGUAGGUCCCGAGCGUUGUCCGGAUUUAUUGGGCGUAAAGCGAGCGCAGGCGGUUUGAUAAGUCUGAAGUUAAAGGCUGUGGCUCAACCAUAGUUCGCUUUGGAAACUGUCAAACUUGAGUGCAGAAGGGGAGAGUGGAAUUCCAUGUGUAGCGGUGAAAUGCGUAGAUAUAUGGAGGAACACCGGUGGCGAAAGCGGCUCUCUGGUCUGUAACUGACGCUGAGGCUCGAAAGCGUGGGGAGCGAACAGGAUUAGAUACCCUGGUAGUCCACGCCGUAAACGAUGAGUGCUAGGUGUUGGAUCCUUUCCGGGAUUCAGUGCCGCAGCUAACGCAUUAAGCACUCCGCCUGGGGAGUACGACCGCAAGGUUGAAACUCAAAGGAAUUGACGGGGGCCCGCACAAGCGGUGGAGCAUGUGGUUUAAUUCGAAGCAACGCGAAGAACCUUACCAGGUCUUGACAUCCCGAUGCUAUUUCUAGAGAUAGAAAGUUACUUCGGUACAUCGGUGACAGGUGGUGCAUGGUUGUCGUCAGCUCGUGUCGUGAGAUGUUGGGUUAAGUCCCGCAACGAGCGCAACCCCUAUUGUUAGUUGCCAUCAUUCAGUUGGGCACUCUAGCGAGACUGCCGGUAAUAAACCGGAGGAAGGUGGGGAUGACGUCAAAUCAUCAUGCCCCUUAUGACCUGGGCUACACACGUGCUACAAUGGUUGGUACAACGAGUCGCAAGCCGGUGACGGCAAGCUAAUCUCUUAAAGCCAAUCUCAGUUCGGAUUGUAGGCUGCAACUCGCCUACAUGAAGUCGGAAUCGCUAGUAAUCGCGGAUCAGCACGCCGCGGUGAAUACGUUCCCGGGCCUUGUACACACCGCCCGUCACACCACGAGAGUUUGUAACACCCGAAGUCGGUGAGGUAACCUUUUGGAGCCAGCCGCCUAAGGUGGGAUAGAUGAUUGGGGUGAAGUCGUAACAAGGUAGCCGUAUCGGAAGGUGCGGCUGGAUCACCUCCUU
rnacentral:rRNA from 1 species